GAACUUGCACCCAGGGCUUCAUACAUUCUAGGCAAAUUCUCUUGCCACUCAGCUACAACUGCUGUGUGAGACUAACCACCACGCCAUGCUCAGAAGGCAGCACCUUUGUGAGUGUUUAUUUUUACAAUAAUAGAAUAUCUGUUUGAGGACUAUAGCCAGGCAUACUGUUCUUCCUUUCUCUAAAUUUUUUAUGCUCAGUGUACAAAGCAAUGGAUUUUUGUACAAGUAUGGCAAUUUUUGUACCUGUGUUCCACUGCUCGUUGUUUCUUCCCCCUUCCACUUUUCCUUUCAGUGCCCCUCACCCCCUUGACUGCCUGAUUUCUCCUUACACGUAGAGCCCCCAACUCCAUUUUUGGGGUUUAAUAGUAACUUUGAUUUGUAGUGGUAAGUUGUCAUGUGGGUAGGUGAUUUAGAGUUGUUUACUGUUCAAUGCUCAUUGUUGAUUAAUUCCGUCAUUUCUAUUUGGUGUAGUAUUUAUUUAAACAGUACAUAUAGUAAAACUAGAACCUACAGGGAGGACUGGAGCCCUGUGUAAUGACGAAGUGGAUAUUGAUCUCUCACUUGUUUUUUCAUUUGUAUCCAAGUGUAUCUAUGUAUAUUACAUGAAAACAGAAUUGAGACAGGCUCUCUUGUAGGAAGGGUGAUUUCAAAUUCCUAUGCAGCUGAGGAUGACCUUGAACUCCUGAUGCAUCAGCCCAGUCAGUGUAGUCCUUGGUUUUUGUUUAUUUGGUUCUUGUGUUUUAAGGCAAGGUCUUGUUAUCCAGUCUCCAACAGUGGUCUUCCUGCUUCAGCGUCCUGAGUCUGUAAAUUGUACUGAUAUGCCAAGAUAACCUAGGAGUUGUUGCUGUGGCGGUAGCUAUUACCAAUUUGGGCACAAAAGGUGUUAAAGAACUGGUUUCAAGUACCUUAGUAAUUCCUGUUGCUUUUCACUUACAGUGCUUUGAAGCCAGUCGCUCGGGAAAUGGUAUUGUUGAAUCACGGGCUACAUCUCAUUUGAAAGAGUUCAGUGGAGGUGAGUAUUGAUGCUAAGAAAAUGAAAUUAAUUUCAUGUAUAAAGUUAUGUACCAGUACAAUUAUACUUUGAGAUUCUGAACACAAUAUCUAAAACCCAUAGGAAUCUAUAGCUAUUUUUAAGUCUUAUGAUGUUAUUAGUUAAAUAGAGUAAAAUUAUAUUUUUAGUAAAGAACUAUUUGGGCCAGUUGUAAAAUCAGUUCCUCUUUAAUUUUUUUUAAGUAUUCUGUCUUCAGAUUCUACCAUUAAUUUCAUACCAUUGAUCCCAUUUUGAUUUCUUUAUUAGAAAGUGUGCAGUGUAGUUUGAGAGGGAAAUCCCAAACUGUCUGACUUUUUCUUCACAAUUUGUUUUGAGUUUUUUUUUUAUCAUAUCUAAAUUAUCCUUAGUUUCUUUAGGUACAUCUGUGACCAUCAGCCAGCUACCAUAUGCUUGAAUAAGAGAGCAUAUUGAUCCUGUUCCAUUUAUUAUAGUUUUCUCUCUUUAAGAAAAAUUAUUUCCCUCUUUCAUUCUUUUUCUGUUCCCAUCUUAAUACUUCUUAAAAUCCCCAACAACAUUCAUAUUUUUUGUGAGUUUUUAUAUUUUUAUAUUUCCAUGAUAUACUAAUUUUAAUUUCUUUCAUGAGCAUAGGUGGGAUAUUAAUGACUGGAACAUGGACGAGUUACUAUUAUCUAUACCACUGAAGAAACUAUUCUUCGUUUCCCUGUGGCUGUACUCAGCUCUCAUGAUUUCCUCAGGGAACUCUGAGGGUCUCACAGGUCCCUCCCCAGCCCUAAUGGAUUGUUGACAGGCUUAGCCUUGUAUCAUCACAGCUACUAUUGAGUUGAUGAGUAUACCGGCCAUGUCACAUCUGAAGACAGAGUUUAACGGCAUUCCUCCUGUCCUUGAUUGAUAGAUUUCAUUCUGUCCCCCUUCCCCCAGUGUUCCCCAGUCUUUGUUGGGGUUGAAGUAGAUGUCCUAUUUAGGGCAGAGUACUCAACAGCACUUACUCUCCACACUUUGACCUGUCCUGAGUGUCUACUUUACCUACUACCAACUGCAAGGGAAAGCUCUGCUCCGGGCUGAAAGCAGCAUUGUUCGCUGCCUAUAAACAUACACAUUAGAGAGUAGUGUGGUACUGAGUCACCAGCACAGAACAACAAUCCAGAUGUUCUCCUCUCCUGUCCUUGGCCUAUGACUUUCCUACCUAGCCCAGGGCAUUUGAUUAGCUUUUUAGUACCAAUUUUGCUUUCCCUUCAGUGGAGCAGGCCUCAGAUCACUCAAAAAGUGGUUGGCCACUGUACUGCUGUUAGUCAUGCCACUGGUACACCAGCGGGCACAUCUUGCUUAGCAGGUUUUGUAGCUUCCCUAGCACUUUACUGGGACCUUCUAGCACCAUGAAAGCUGGCUGGCAUGGAGUAAGCUUCCCCAUUCUGUGCCAGCUUGAACUCUCCAGUUCUUAACCCUAUGACUUGUGUUGCUUUUCAAAAGCAAAGUCUCACAUUAGCAGCCCUGACUAGCUUUGAACUUACUUUGUAGACAAGAGUGAGCACAUAUAGUACUUUCUUUUGUUUUCUAGAUAUAGCUGCUCCCAUCUUUUUUUUUUUUUCCCCAGACAUGGUCUCUUUGUAGUUCUCACUGUCCUGAGUCUUACUGUAGACUAGCUGACUUCUACCUUCACAGAGACCUGCCUGCCUGACUCCAAAUACUGGAAUUAAAGGCAUAUACCACUUAGCCAGCCUCUGUAGUGACUCUUAAGGACUUAUUCUUUGAUUUGAAAUUUCACAAAGUAUGUCGUGACUUUAAAGUCAUUGUUGAACCAUCACAUGAAUUUGAGCAUAUGGCAUCCUGUGUGAUCAGCUGACUAACUCUUAGCCACUCUGGUACCAUGAUUAUCUGAUUGUUAUGCAUGUUAGCAAAUAUUUUGGUUGAUUUUAGUCAUGGGCAAUUAGAAUUACCAGUCCAUCAAUUUGCUUGUCUUUAAAGGAAAUGGCUUGGAGAUAAUGUCAGCUCUUUUCUAUCCUUUUAUGUAUUUUGUAAAUUUUGUCUAUAUGGUUCAGCUCAUAAGAAUUUUGUAUCUACAGCUAGGCAGGUGGUACACUAUAGUCCCAGUGCUUGGUAAGCUGAAGCAGGCAGAUCUCUGUGAAUGAAAGGCCAGCCUGGUUUAUACAGUACAUUCCUGGCCAGCCAGAGCUGUACGACAAGACCCUCUAUAACAAAUCAACACAAACUAAAUGCUUUUUCUUCAAUACAGGUUCUAGGAUCUAAGUCAUAAGUAGAAGACUUGCCCAGCAUGCAUGAGACAUGGGCUUCCUCCUUAGCAACUGACAUUAUGUUAAUUCUUCUCUUAGUCUUGGACUGUUACCUACCCUAAUAGUUUCUCAUCUCCAUAAAGCACUCAGAAACAGUGGCAUUGAUAAUAGUCUCAUUAGUUAACUCACGUAUUUGUCUUGGAACUUUCUAUCCUUUGAAAGAUUCAUCCUCGAAAACUGUUUUUAGUACUUUAGAUACAGAUUUGCUUAUAAUUAAGAGCAUAUGGAGAUUAAGCAUAAAGACCUAUUAUGGUAGCACAUGUAUUUAAUUCCAGCACUUGGGAGACAGAGACAGAGAGUUUGAGACUAGCCGGGUUUACAUGGUGAGUUCCAGGACAGUCAGGGCUGUAUAAUGAGACUCUAACAAAUAAGAAAAC
rnacentral:lncRNA from 1 species